AGGAAGGGGUCGUGUCUUCGCAGUACCCUUAUUCUUAAAGGAGUGCUCAACAGGACUGUCUCUGGUCAUCUUCUCCGACAUCUUCUUCUCCUUUUCCUGUCAGAUCUCCACCUGAUGCCUCCCCAAAAGGCACCCACCAGGCGAUCCACAGCCUCCGCGAUGAGAUCUCAGCGGGCUCCGCAAGCUCCAACCUCGUCUCC
rnacentral:lncRNA from 1 species